rnacentral:lncRNA from 1 species
GGCGAGGCCGCGGCGCCUCAGGGCGCCUGCGCGCAGUGCUAGGCCGUGCCCACUGCGCGUGCGUGAGAGGCCCCGGGGAAGGGGAGAGGCGGCAGUGCGGCAACACGCAGGGACAAGCCAGGAGCUAAUGCUGAGAGCCAGAUGGGACCAUGCGCAGCUGCAGAGAGGGGCCAGGGGCAACGGGUCUCAGACUGAGCGUGAGUCAGAGACCACAGGGCUGCGAAGAAGACAUCCUGUGAGGCUGUGUAAACAGGAGCGUCGGCCCGAGGAGCAAAUGAGGGGCAUCAGUGGCGAGGCCAGGCUCUUCGAGACCGCAGCCAGCCCAGCUUGCGCCCUGCAGCCUCCCAGAGCACCCAUGCGUGGGGCUGCAGCACCCUACAAGCGCUCCCAGCUGCUGUUUCCCAACCCUUCACCAAGACCCUCAGUCCCUAUUUCCCCUACCCCAACCGCCAGCGGACAGAGGCAGACACGACAGCGGUGUGCAUAGCGAUUGUGGUUAGAUUUUAUUGUCUUUGUUUUUGUUUUUUAACCCAUAUUAUUGUUAUAAUACAAAAUAUACAGACUGGAGAUGCCAAGCGGGU